rnacentral:rRNA from 1 species
UACGGGGGGAGCAAGCGUUGUUCGGAUUUACUGGGCGUAAAGGGCGCGUAGGCGGUCAGCACAAGUCAGUUGUGAAAUCUCCGGGCUUAACCCGGAAAGGUCAGCCGAUACUGCGGGGCUAGAGUGCAGAAGGGGCAACUGGAAUUCUCGGUGUAGCGGUGAAAUGCGUAGAUAUCGAGAGGAACACCUGCGGCGAAGGCGGGUUGCUGGGCUGACACUGACGCUGAUGCGCGAAAGCUAGGGGAGCGAAGCGGG